rnacentral:rRNA from 1 species
AUCCUUGAUAGAAUUAGGGCUAGGUUAGCCGAUUGGAAGGGUAGGCUAAUGCCGAUGGCGGGUCGCCGCGUCCUAGUACGCUGCGUUCUGUCAGCAAUCCCAACCUUCGCGCUCACAGCUUUACACGCACCGAAGAAGCUCUUGAAGGAAAUUGAGAAGUCGAGGAGAUGAUUUCUCUGGGCGCAGGACGACGAGAUCUUAGGGGCGAAGUGCAAGGUCGGCUAG